GCGCUCCCUACCCGCCGACCUGAGGAAGUGGAACGUUAGCGUGACCGCGGAGGGAGGGGCGUAAUGUUUCAGGAAAGAAGGAGAACAAGUAGAUGAGGAGAAUCCGGUACCCGAAGAGUAUCGGUACUGAAAUGAGGAAACAUUGCAGCCAAUUAAGAUGCUAUAUAGAAGUUUUUGAUAGCAUGUUUCCAAUUUUCCCAGGGGCACUAAGAGAAGAGGUGUCUGGAGCAGGAGUAAGAGCAUUCCAGUGACUCUUAACUAUCAAAAAGUAAGCCAGAAUUUGGUUUAAACCUCACUCUUCUGUGAGUCUGAUGGGUAAGCCCAGUCUCAGGGUACACUGACAGAAAAAUGGAGAAUCAGAUCCUCCCAAUAUACUGUCGUGAUCCUGUUAGUCCAGGCUAAGUGACUCUUUCUCAGUUUUAAUUGCAGAAAUCAGUAUCAUCCUUUGUCAUCCAAGUAUACACUUGCAUCAUUUUUCAGCCAAAGGAAUUUUUUUUGGGAAGCAACUUACUUGAUUCCUGGUUGUACUGUCUUUGAUCCAUGCAAAUUUUCCCCCUUCACUUAUUUUACAAUACAAAUGUGAUAAAGUCUUUGCUUCUUUACACUUACUUGUAUCCAGAGAGUUGUGGGGGCUUCUUUGUUGGUUUUUUGUGGUGGUGGUGGUAGUUAUUUUUCGACCAUGCCACCCAGCUUGUGGAAUCCUAGUUCCCAGACCAAGGAUUGAACCCAGAGAAAUCACCAAGUUCCAGUCACUAGACCACCAGAAAUUCCCUAGAGCGAUUGUUUGCCCAUGUAGAUCUGUUUUAUGGAUUUUUCUCUUUUCAUUGUGGUUUAUUACAGAAUAUUGAAUAUAUUUCCCAGUGGUAUACAGUAGGACCUUGUUGUUUAUCUAUUUUAUAUAGUUUGUAUUUGCUAAUCCCAGACUCUUAAUUUAUUCCUCCACCACUCCCUUUCUCCUUUGGUAAUAUAUGCCCAAGACUAGGAUUGCUGGAUCAUAUGACAACUCUAUUUUUAGUUUUCUAAGGAGCCUCCAUAUUGUUCUGCAUAGUGGCUGUGUAAUUUACAUUCCUACCAACAUUGUAGGAGGUUCUGCUUUUCUACACACCCUCUCCAACAUUUGUUAUUUGACUGCUUGAGGUGAACAGCCAGCUUACUUGAGAAGACCCUGAUGCUUGGAAAGAUUGUAGGUAAAAGGAGAAGGGGGCAGUAGAGGAUGAUAUGGUUAGAUAGCGUCACUGAUUCAGUGGACAUGAAUCUGAGCAAAUUCCAGGGUGAAGGACAGGGAAGCCUGGCAUGCUGCAGUCCAAAGAGUUGGACACGACUUAGCGACUGAACAGUGACAAUUUACAAGACUUAAAAUUGUAUUGAAGCUUAGUUGAUUUACAAUGUUGUGUUAAUUUCAGGUAUACAUCACAGUGAUUGAGUUAUACAUAUAUUGAUUCUUUUUCAGGUUCUUUACCCAUAUAGGUUAUUACAAAAUACUGAGUAGAAUUUCCUGUGCUAUACAGUAGGUCCUUGUUGGUCUGUCGAUGGACAUUUAGGUUGCUUCCAUGUCUUGGCUAUUGUAAACAGUGCUGCAGUGAGCAUUGAGCUGCAUGUAUCUUUUCUUUUUUAAUUAUUAUGAGAGUAUGGUUACUUUACAAUGUUGUGUUAGUUUCUACUGCACAGCAAAGUGAAUCAGCUAUACAUAUAUACAUAUAUCCCCUCUUUUUUGGAUUUCUUUCCCAUUAGGUCACCCACAGAGCACUAAGUAGAAUUCCCUGAGCUAUAUAGUGUUCUCAUUAGUUAUCUAUACACAGUAUCAAUAGUGUAUAUAUGGCAAUCCCAAUCUCCCAAUUCAUCCUACCUCCCAUCCCCCUUGGUGCUCAAACAUUUAUUUUCUACAUCUAUGCUCUAUUUCUGUUUUGCAAAUAAGAUCAUCUGUGUCAUUUUUCUAGAUUUUAUAUAUAUACAUUAAUAAAUGCUAUUUGUUUGUCUCUUUCUGACUUACUUCACUCUGUAUGACAAUCUCUAGGUCCAGUCACAUCUCUACAGAUGACCCAAUUUCAUUCCUUUUUAUGGCUGAAUAAUAUUCCAUUGUAUAUAUGGUACACAUCUUUAUCCAUUACUCUGGUUUUUAAAUUUUAUUUAUUUUUAUUUACUUUUGGUUGUGCUGGGUCUUCAUUGCCUAUGCACAGGCUUUCUCUGGUUGCAGUGAUCAGUGUCUGCUCUUCGUCACAGAACAUGGGAUUCUCAUUGCAGUGACUUCUCUUGUUGCAGAGCACAGGCUCCAGUUGGCGUGGGCUUCAGUAGUUGCAGCUCGCAGGCUGCACAUGGGCUUAGUUGUGGCACAUGGGCUUAGUUGCUCCAUGGAAUGUGGAAUCUUCCCGGACCAGGGAUCAAACCAUGUCCCCUGCAUUGGCAGGCCAGUUCUUAACCACUGGACAACUAGGGAAGUUCUAUCCAUUCCUUUGUUGAUGAACAUUUAGGUUACUUUCAUGUCCUGGCAAUUGUAAAUAGUGCUGCAACGAACAUUUGGGUGCAUGUUAUCUUGUCAAAGUACGGUUUUCUCUAGAUAUAUGCCUAGAAGUGCAAUUUCUGGCUUUUUAUUUGUAGAUUUUUUAAUGAGGGUCAUUCUAACCUGUGUGAGAUUGUACCUCAUAGUUUUGAUUUGCAUUUCUCUAAUAAUUAGCAGAGUUGAGCAUCUUUUCAUGUGCCUAUUGGCCAUCUGUAUGUCUUCUUUGGAGAAAUGUCUGUUUAGAUCUUCUCCCCAUUUGAUUGGGUUGUUUUUGUUGUUGUUGAGUUGUAGGACCUGUUUGUAUAUUUUAAAAAAAAUUAUUUAGGCUGUGCUGGGACUUAGUUGUGGCUUGAGUUGUAUGAGCUGUUUGUAUAUUUAAAAAAAAAAUUUAUUUAGGCUGUGCUUGGACUUAGCUGUGGCACGUGGGGUCUUCAGUUGUGGCAUGCAGGAUCUAGUUCCAUGACCAGGGAUGGAACCUGUGCCCCCUGCAUUGGGAACAUGAAGUCUUAGUCACUGGACCACCAGGGAAGUCCCUGUUGUAAAUUUUUUUGAAAUUAAGCCCUUGUCAGUCAUAUGAUCUAAAAAUAUUUUCUCCUAGUUGUCUUCUCAUUUUGUUUAUGGUUUCCUUUGCUCUGCAAAAAGAUGUAAGCUUAAUUAGGUCCCAUUUGUUUUUUAUUUUUGCUUCUAUUUCUAUUGCCUUGGGAGAUUGACCUAAGAAAAUAUUGCUAUGAUGUAUGUCAGGGAAUGUAUUGCCUAUGAUCUCCUCUAGGAGUUUUGUGGUGUUAUGUCUUAUAUUUAAGUCUUUAAGCCAUUUUAUCUUUGUGUGUAGUGUAAAGGUGUGUUCUAACUUCAUUGAUAUACAUGCCGCUGUCCAGCUUUCCCAACACCACUUGCUGAAAAGACUGUUUUUUCUGCAUUGUAUAUUCUUGCCCCCGUGUUGAAGAUUAAUUGACCACAGUUUCCAGCCCUGGGUGUUCACUGGAAGGACUGAUGCUGAAGCUGAAACUCCAAUACUUUGGCCACCUGAUGCGAAGAGCUGACUCAUUUGAAAAGACCCUGAUGCUGGGAAAGAUUGAGGGCAGGAGGAGAAGGGGACGACAGAGGAUGAGAUGGUUGGAUGGCAUCACCGACUCAAUGGACAUGGGUUUGGGUGGACUCUGGAAGUUGGUGAUGGACAGGGAGGCCUAGCGUGCUGUGGUCCAUGGGGUCGCAAAGAGUCGGACACGACUGAGCGACUGAACUGAGCUGAUGUAGUUUAUUUCUGAGCUUUCUGUUCUGUUCCAUUGAUCCAUAUGUCUGUUUUUGUGCAAAUACUACACUGUGUUGAUUACUGUUGCUGGGAGGAUUAUGCCUCCAGCUUUGUUUUUUUCCCCCAGGGUUGCUUUGGUAAUUGUGGGUCUUUUAUGGUUCCAUAUAAAGUUUAGGAUUAUUUUUUCUAAUUUUGUGAAAAAUAUCACAGUUAAUGAAAUAAUAGGGAUCGCAUUAAAUCCAUAGAUUGCUUUGAGUAGCCUGAGCAUUUUAACAUUAAUUCUUCUAAUCCAAGAGCAUGGGAUCUCUUUCCAUUUAUUUGAAUAAUCUUCAAUUUCCUUUAUCAUUAUUUUAUAGUUCUCAACAUCUAAGCCUUUUACCUCCUUAGUCAGGUUUAUUCCUAAAUAUUUUUUUUUGGCAGUUUCAAAAGGCACUUUUUAUUUUCUCCCUUUCAUUGUUAGUGUGAAGAAACACAGUGGAUUUCUGUAUGAUCCAUGCAAAUGUUAAUAAACCCAUCAGAACGAUGAGUCAGAGUAAUCCACUUCACGUCAAGCCAGUCUCCUGGAGCCUUUCUCCUCUCCUGGGAAUGCUCCAAGGGUAGUCCAGUGUCCUCUCAGGCAAAGCAGAUGCUGGUCAACAAGCUGACGUGUCUGUAGAGUUUGCCAUGAAGUGGCUUGUUCAUGACCUGUUUCUGGGAUCCUGGAAAAAUGUUUUUGAGGUCUACCUGGAAAGUCUGGUCUUGGAAACCCAGUUGUUUUCUUGGGCAUCAGGAAGGUUGUGAUCCAAGAGAAUGCAUCAUAGUUUUAUUUAUUUGUUUAUUCAUUUAUUUAUUUUGGCUUGUGCAUCAGCAUUGAGCAGGGACUUCUCUAGUUGGGGUGCGAAGGAGCUUCUUUUGCUGUGGAGCUUGGGCUCUAGAGUGUGUGGACUCAGUAGUUGCGGCUCUCGGGCUUAGUUACCCCACAGCAUGUGGGAUCUUAGUUCCCCGACUAAGGAUCAAAGCCUCAUCCCCUGCAUUAGAAGGCAGAGUGUUCUUUUUUAUUUUUUGUCUUUAUUUUCGAAGGCAAAGUCUUAACCACUGGACCACUAGGGAAGUCCCAGUGUAUCAUGGCUUUAAAUGAAUCUGGAACUGAAAAGCACAUUUUGUUUUUAAAUUUACAUUCAGUAACUAAAUUGAAGGAGAGAAUGAUCUUAAAGCCAGUGGUCUCUUAGAUCACGUGGAAGAAAUAUCUCAAAACACACCAAAAACGGAGAAAAAGAAACCAGGAAGGCAGAGACUCAGAGGACCAAUCCGUGUUGAGCUCAGUGCCAGUCAGAUUUCCCUGAGCCAGUUCCUGUAGUCAGGAGAUACCCCUUCCUGCCUGUGGUCUCGUAAGGUUUGAGCCUGCAUUUUAAGUAUGCCAGGUGAUGCUAAUACUGCUGGACCACAAGACAGCACUUUGAGUAGCAGGAACCUCGGCGGGGUUUGUCUCCUGUGUAAUUGAUAGGGCUUACCACUGCCUCCACAUUCUGUUGAUGGGAACCUGAUGGAAGGCAAGAGAAAGGAUGAGGAAAAUAAGUAAUUUUCCUUUUUUCAAAAUAAAAAUUAUUUAUUUUUAGCUGUGCUGGGUCUUCGUUGCUGCAAAAGGCUUUCUCUAGUUGUGGCGAGUGGGGCUUCUCUCCAGUUGUGGUGCGAGGGCUUCUCAUUGCGGUGGCUUCUUUUGUUGUGGAGGAUGGGCUCGAGGGUGCUCGGGCUUCAGUAGUUGCAGCACGUGGGCUUAGUUACCCUGCCAGCAUGUGGGAUCUUCUCUGAGCAGGGAUCAAACCCAUGUCCCCUGCAUUGGCAGGUGGAUUCUUAACCAUUGGACUACCAAGAAGGCCCUAAACUAGCAAUUUUCCUUUUUAAAAAUCUCAUCUUUUUAAUUUAAAAAUGUCAAACCUCUGAAUAUUUGAAAGAAUAAUGCAGUAAACACCUAUGUACUUUUCACCUAGCAUCACCAGUUAUUAAUAGUUAAACAAUUUCCUCUUAAGGACAUGCUUGAGAACGUUAAGUUGCUCAUAUCACUUCCACUGUUGUUCACUGGUAAAAACUUUGGCAUAUGGUUUCAUCUUGCUGCAAAGGAGACUAAGAAGUACAAGCUUAGCUUGUUAGCUCUUUGCCUGCUAAAGUGGGUACUGUCCUACUACUACAUGAGGAUGUGAUUAAGCAGUUGCUUUUUAAAAAGAAAGGAGAGGAUGGACUUUCCUGGCAGUGCAGUAGUUAAACUUCGCCUUCCAGUGCAGAAGGUAAGGGUUUAGUCCCUGGUUGAGGAACUAAGA